rnacentral:rRNA from 1 species
AGCAGCCGCGGUAAUUCCAGCUCCAAUAGCGUAUAUUAAAGUUGUUGCAGUUAAAAAGCUCGUAGUUGAAUUUCGGGAUCAGUUGGUCGGUCGUGCCUCGGUACGUACUGGUCAAAUUGAUUCCUACCUUCUGACGAACCACGAUGUCAUUAAUUUGGUGUCGCGGGAAAUCAGGACUGUUACUUUGAAAAAAUUAGAGUGUUUAAAGCAGGCUCGCGCUUGAAUACAUUAGCAUGGAAUAAUGAAAUAGGACGUUUGAUUCUAUUUUGUUGGUUUCUAGGAUCGACGUAAUGAUUAAUAGGGAUAGUUGGGGGCAUUAGUAUUCAAUUGUCAGAGGUGAAAUUCUUGGAUUUAUUGAAGACUAACUACUGCGAAAGCAUUUGCCAAGGAUGUUUUCAUUAAUCAAGAACGAAAGUUAGGGGAUCGAAGACGAUCAGAUACCGUCGUAGUCUUAACCAUAAACUAUGCCGACUAGGGAUCGGAUGAUGUUAAUUUUUUAAUGACUC